rnacentral:rRNA from 1 species
UACGUAGGGAGCAAGCGUUGGCCGGAAUCAUUGGGCGUAAAGCGCGCGUAGGCGGCCUCAUAAGUCCGUUGUGAAAGUCAAAGGCUCAACCUUUGAAAGCCGAUGGAUACUGUGAGGCUAGAGUCCGGAAGAGGCGAGUGGAAUUCCUGGUGUAGCGGUGGAAUGCGCAGAUAUCAGGAGGAACACCAAUAGCGAAGGCAGCUCGCUGGGACGGUACUGACGCUAAGGCGCGAAAGCGUGGGGAGCGAACAGG